CACACACACACACACACACACACACACACACACACACACACACGGAGAAGAGGAAACAGCUAAAAGGAGGUGAAGGCAGCUAGAGUUUGAAAGAUGCAGAAAAUCACAGCAAAGGCCCACAUUUGCAGGCACAAAGCAGCAAAGGUGGGUGGGAAUGUGUGGGAAG